rnacentral:rRNA from 1 species
GAUGAACGCUGGCGGCGUGCCUAAUACAUGCAAGUCGAGCGAACAGACGAGGAGCUUGCUCCUAUGACGUUAGCGGCGGACGGGUGAGUAACACGUGGAUAACCUACCUAUAAGACCGGGAUAACUUCGGGAAACCGGAGCUAAUACCGGAUAAUAUAUUGAACCGCAUGGUUCAAUAGUGAAAGACGGUUUUGCUGUCACUUAUAGAUGGAUCCGCGCCGCAUUAGCUAGUUGGUAAGGUAACGGCUUACCAAGGCAACGAUGCGUAGCCGACCUGAGAGGGUGAUCGGCCACACUGGAACUGAGACACGGUCCAGACUCCUACGGGAGGCAGCAGUAGGGAAUCUUCCGCAAUGGGCGAAAGCCUGACGGAGCAACGCCGCGUGAGUGAUGAAGGUCUUCGGAUCGUAAAACUCUGUUAUUAGGGAAGAACAAAUGUGUAAGUAACUAUGCACGUCUUGACGGUACCUAAUCAGAAAGCCACGGCUAACUACGUGCCAGCAGCCGCCGUAA